rnacentral:rRNA from 1 species
UACGUAGGGUGCGAGCGUUAAUCGGAAUUACUGGGCGUAAAGGGUGCGUAGGCGGUUGACUAAGUCAGAUGUGAAAUCCCCGGGCUCAACCUGGGAAUGGCAUUUGAGACUGGUCGGCUAGAGUGUGUCAGAGGGGGGUAGAAUUCCACGUGUAGCAGUGAAAUGCGUAGAGAUGUGGAGGAAUACCGAUGGCGAAGGCAGCCCCCUGGGAUAACACUGACGCUCAGGCACGAAAGCGUGGGGAGCAAACAGG